CGAUCUGUAGCUCAGCCGGUUAGAGCACCUCGCUGAUAACGAGGAGGCCCGAGGUUCAAGUCCUCGCAGAUCGACCA
rnacentral:tRNA from 1 species